rnacentral:tRNA from 1 species
GCGGGUGUAGCUCAGUAGCAGAGCGCCCCUUUUCCAAAGGGGAGGCGCAGUGUGCAAUUCCUGUCACCCGCUCCG